rnacentral:lncRNA from 1 species
CUGAAACUCAAGUAUUUUUCUAGGUACUUAACUGUUCAGAAAAGUGGGGUUCAUAAAAGGUGUGCUCCUGUUGAUGAAGCAAGCUACCAUGUUGCAGAGGCCCAAAUAUCAUGAAUUGGGGAUAACUUCUGGCCAAUAGCCGUUGAGAAACGAAGGCACUCAGUCCAACAGCCUGUUAGAAACUGAACCCUGCAACAGCCAAGUGAGCAAGUUUAAGAAGCAGAAACAUCUCCAGUCAAACCUUAGGAAGACUAAACCCCAAGCUGACACCUUGAUUACAGCGUGUGAGAGACCCUGACAAAGAGGACACUGCUAAGAUAUGUUCAGAUUCCUGACCCAAAGAAACCGCGAGGAUGCUUGCUCUUGGAAACCAGCUAGCAUUCUAUGAGGAUACCAAACAGCCAUAGGUAGACGUUUUGACAGAGAGCUCCAGCCGAGAUCCC